UGUCCAAUGCGGGGAUCGAACCCGGGUCGUAGUGGUUGUAAACCAAACGGUUUAACCAGCCUCAACCUC